CCCUUCGUGGUGCAACGGUUAGCACACUCGGCGCGUAUUCGAGAGGUCCAGGUUCGAGUCCCGGUGAGGGCA
rnacentral:tRNA from 1 species